rnacentral:rRNA from 1 species
GAUGAACGCUGGCGGCGUGCCUAAUACAUGCAAGUCGAGCGAACGGACGAGAAGCUUGCUUCUCUGAUGUUAGCGGCGGACGGGUGAGUAAAACGUGGAUAACCUACCUAUAAGACUGGGAUAACUUCGGGAACCCGGAGCUAAUACCGGAUAAUAUUUUGAACCGCAUGGUUCAAAAGUGAAAGACGGUCUUGCUGACACUUAUAGAUGGAUCCGCCCUGCAUUAGCUAGUUGGUAAGGUAACGGCUUACCAAGCGAACGAUGCAGAGCCGACCUGAGAGCGUGAUCGGCCACACUGGAACUGAGACCCGGUACCGACUCCUAAGGGAGGCAGCAGUAGGGAAUCUUCCGCAAUGGGCGAAAGCCUGACGGCACAAAGCCGCGUGAUUGAUGAAGCGAUUCGGAUCGUAAAACUCUGUUAUUAGGGAAGAACAUUUGUCUAAGGAACUGUGCACAUCUUGACGGUCCCUAAUCAGAAAGCCACGGCUAACUACGUG